AAGUCGUAACAAGGUUUCCGUAGGUGAACCUGCGGAAGGAUCAUUACCAAUUUUACCCCAAAGAGGGAGGCGAGGAGGCUGGGCAACCGCCUCUUUUCCUUCUUUCUUUCCAACCAACCUUUGAUUGUGAACCAUGAGACCAAACAACACCAUACAAAGCCGUUGUUGUUGUUGUCACAGCCAUCUUGCAUGGUGAUGAUGACGAUGAUGAUGUGUUUUGUAAAUUUAUUAAACCCCAAACAAAUCGACCACGGCACCGCCAUGCGUGCAUGCGCGUGUGUGAGUGUGUUGAGAAAAGCAAUGCUUGUCCGAGACAGAAACGUUGAGAAACAAAAAUCUAUAUACAACUUUUAACGGCGGAUCUCUUGGCUCGU
rnacentral:misc_RNA from 1 species